rnacentral:rRNA from 1 species
CCUACGGGAGGCAGCAGUGGGGAAUAUUGGGCAAUGGGCGCAAGCCUGACCCAGCAACGCCGCGUGAAGGAAGAAGGCCUUCGGGUUGUAAACUUCUUUUGUCAGGGAAGAGUAGAAGACGGUACCUGACGAAUAAGACUCGGCUAACUACUUGCCAGCAGCAGCGGUACUACGUAGGUGGCAGGCGUUGUCCGGAUUUAAUGGGUGUAAAGGGCGUGUAGCCGUGUUGACAGGUCAGAUGUGAAAUCCUGCGGCUAAAGCGGAGAACUGCAAUUGAUACUGUUGAUCUGGAGUACUGAUGAGGUAGGUGGAAUGCGUGGUGUAGCGGUGAAAUGCGUAGAUAUUACGAAGAACACCGAUUGCGAAGGCAGUCUGCUGGACCGCGACUGACGGUGAGGCGCGAAAGCGUGGGGAGCAAACAGGAUUAGAUACCCUGGUAGUC